rnacentral:rRNA from 1 species
GAGCGGGUGUAGCAAUACAUCAGCGGCAGACGGGUGAGUAACGCGUGGGAACGUACCUUUUGGUUCGGAACAACCCAGGGAAACUUGGGCUAAUACCGGAUAAGCCCUUACGGGGAAAGAUUUAUCGCCGAAAGAUCGGCCCGCGUCUGAUUAGCUAGUUGGUGAGGUAAUGGCUCACCAAGGCGACGAUCAGUAGCUGGUCUGAGAGGAUGAUCAGCCACAUUGGGACUGAGACACGGCCCAAACUCCUACGGGAGGCAGCAGUGGGGAAUAUUGGACAAUGGGCGCAAGCCUGAUCCAGCCAUGCCGCGUGAGUGAUGAAGGCCCUAGGGUUGUAAAGCUCUUUUGUGCGGGAAGAUAAUGACGGUACCGCAAGAAUAAGCCCCGGCUAACUUCGUG